rnacentral:rRNA from 1 species
UUAAGCGACUAAGCGUACACGGUGGAUGCCCUGGCAGUCAGAGGCGAUGAAGGACGUGCUAAUCUGCGAUAAGCGUCGGUAAGGUGAUAUGAACCGUUAUAACCGGCGAUUUCCGAAUGGGGAAACCCAGUGUGUUUCGACACACUAUCAUUAACUGAAUCCAUAGGUUAAUGAGGCGAACCGGGGGAACUGAAACAUCUAAGUACCCCGAGGAAAAGAAAUCAACCGAGAUUCCCCCAGUAGCGGCGAGCGAACGGGGAGCAGCCCAGAGCCUGAAUCAGUGUGUGUGUUAGUGGAAGCGUCUGGAAAGGCGCGCGAUACAGGGUGACAGCCCCGUACACAAAAAUGCACAUGCUGUGAGCUCGAUGAGUAGGGCGGGACACGUGGUAUCCUGUCUGAAUAUGGGGGGACCAUCCUCCAAGGCUAAAUACUCCUGACUGACCGAUAGUGAACCAGUACCGUGAGGGAAAGGCGAAAAGAACCCCGGCGAGGGGAGUGAAAAAGAACCUGAAACCGUGUACGUACAAGCAGUGGGAGCACGCUUAGGCGUGUGACUGCGUACCUUUUGUAUAAUGGGUCAGCGACUUAUAUUCUGUAGCAAGGUUAACCGAAUAGGGGAGCCGAAGGGAAACCGAGUCUUAACUGGGCGUUAAGUUGCAGGGUAUAGACCCGAAACCCGGUGAUCUAGCCAUGGGCAGGUUGAAGGUUGGGUAACACUAACUGGAGGACCGAACCGACUAAUGUUGAAAAAUUAGCGGAUGACUUGUGGCUGGGGGUGAAAGGCCAAUCAAACCGGGAGAUAGCUGGUUCUCCCCGAAAGCUAUUUAGGUAGCGCCUCGUGAAUUCAUCUCCGGGGGUAGAGCACUGUUUCGGCAAGGGGGUCAUCCCGACUUACCAACCCGAUGCAAACUGCGAAUACCGGAGAAUGUUAUCACGGGAGACACACGGCGGGUGCUAACGUCCGUCGUGAAGAGGGAAACAACCCAGACCGCCAGCUAAGGUCCCAAAGUCAUGGUUAAGUGGGAAACGAUGUGGGAAGGCCCAGACAGCCAGGAUGUUGGCUUAGAAGCAGCCAUCAUUUAAAGAAAGCGUAAUAGCUCACUGGUCGAGUCGGCCUGCGCGGAAGAUGUAACGGGGCUAAACCAUGCACCGAAGCUGCGGCAGCGACGCUGAUGCGUUGUUGGGUAGGGGAGCGUUCUGUAAGCCUGCGAAGGUGUGCUGUGAGGCAUGCUGGAGGUAUCAGAAGUGCGAAUGCUGACAUAAGUAACGAUAAAGCGGGUGAAAAGCCCGCUCGCCGGAAGACCAAGGGUUCCUGUCCAACGUUAAUCGGGGCAGGGUGAGUCGACCCCUAAGGCGAGGCCGAAAGGCGUAGUCGAUGGGAAACAGGUUAAUAUUCCUGUACUUGGUGUUACUGCGAAGGGGGGACGGAGAAGGCUAUGUUGGCCGGGCGACGGUUGUCCCGGUUUAAGCGUGUAGGCUGGUUUUCCAGGCAAAUCCGGAAAAUCAAGGCUGAGGCGUGAUGACGAGGCACUACGGUGCUGAAGCAACAAAUGCCCUGCUUCCAGGAAAAGCCUCUAAGCAUCAGGUAACAUCAAAUCGUACCCCAAACCGACACAGGUGGUCAGGUAGAGAAUACCAAGGCGCUUGAGAGAACUCGGGUGAAGGAACUAGGCAAAAUGGUGCCGUAACUUCGGGAGAAGGCACGCUGAUAUGUAGGUGAAGUCCCUCGCGGAUGGAGCUGAAAUCAGUCGAAGAUACCAGCUGGCUGCAACUGUUUAUUAAAAACACAGCACUGUGCAAACACGAAAGUGGACGUAUACGGUGUGACGCCUGCCCGGUGCCGGAAGGUUAAUUGAUGGGGUCAGCGCAAGCGAAGCUCUUGAUCGAAGCCCCGGUAAACGGCGGCCGUAACUAUAACGGUCCUAAGGUAGCGAAAUUCCUUGUCGGGUAAGUUCCGACCUGCACGAAUGGCGUAAUGAUGGCCAGGCUGUCUCCACCCGAGACUCAGUGAAAUUGAACUCGCUGUGAAGAUGCAGUGUACCCGCGGCAAGACGGAAAGACCCCGUGAACCUUUACUAUAGCUUGACACUGAACAUUGAGCCUUGAUGUGUAGGAUAGGUGGGAGGCUUGAAGUGUGGACGCCAGUCUGCAUGGAGCCGACCUUGAAAUACCACCCUUUAAUGUUUGAUGUUCUAACGUUGACCCGUAAUCCGGGUUGCGGACAGUGUCUGGUGGGUAGUUUGACUGGGGCGGUCUCCUCCUAAAGAGUAACGGAGGAGCACGAAGGUUGGCUAAUCCUGGUCGGACAUCAGGAGGUUAGUGCAAUGGCAUAAGCCAGCUUGACUGCGAGCGUGACGGCGCGAGCAGGUGCGAAAGCAGGUCAUAGUGAUCCGGUGGUUCUGAAUGGAAGGGCCAUCGCUCAACGGAUAAAAGGUACUCCGGGGAUAACAGGCUGAUACCGCCCAAGAGUUCAUAUCGACGGCGGUGUUUGGCACCUCGAUGUCGGCUCAUCACAUCCUGGGGCUGAAGUAGGUCCCAAGGGUAUGGCUGUUCGCCAUUUAAAGUGGUACGCGAGCUGGGUUUAGAACGUCGUGAGACAGUUCGGUCCCUAUCUGCCGUGGGCGCUGGAGAACUGAGGGGGGCUGCUCCUAGUACGAGAGGACCGGAGUGGACGCAUCACUGGUGUUCGGGUUGUCAUGCCAAUGGCACUGCCCGGUAGCUAAAUGCGGAAGAGAUAAGUGCUGAAAGCAUCUAAGCACGAAACUUGCCCCGAGAUGAGUUCUCCCUGACCCUUUAAGGGUCCUGAAGGAACGUUGAAGACGACGACGUUGAUAGGCCGGGUGUGUAAGCGCAGCGAUGCGUUGAGCUAACCGGUACUAAUGAACCGUGAGGCUUAACCUU